UUGGACCUACGGGAGGCAGCAGUGGGGAAUAUUGCACAAUGGGGGAAACCCUGAUGCAGCAACGCCGCGUGAGUGAAGAAGUAUUUCGGUAUGUAAAGCUCUAUCAGCAGGGAAGAAGAUGACGGUACCUGAGUAAGAAGCCCCGGCUAACUACGUGCCAGCAGCCGCGGUAAUACGUAGGGGGCAAGCGUUAUCCGGAUUUACUGGGUGUAAAGGGAGCGCAGACGGUGAGACAAGUCUGAAGUGAAAGCCCGGUGCUCAACCCCGGGACUGCUUUGGAAACUGCCUGACC
rnacentral:rRNA from 1 species